rnacentral:rRNA from 1 species
GUAGGCAGCCAUUUCACCCUGCAGCCCAAGACUGGUUGCCCACUGAAGCUAAGCAGGGUUGAGCCUGGUCAGUACCUGGAUGGGAGACCUACUGGGAAAACUAGGUUGCUGCUGGAA